UGGAGAGUUUGAUCCUGGCUCAGGACGAACGCUGGCGGCGUGCCUAAUACAUGCAAGUCGAGCGAAGAGAUGGGAGCUUGCUCCCUGAUCUUAGCGGCGGACGGGUGAGUAACACGUGGGCAACCUGCCCUGCAGACUGGGAUAACUCCGGGAAACCGGAGCUAAUACCGGGUAAUACAUCGCACCGCAUGGUGCAAUGUUGAAAGUUGGCUUUCUGAGCUAACACUGCAGGAUGGGCCCGCGGCGCAUUAGCUAGUUGGUAAGGUAAUGGCUUACCAAGGCAACGAUGCGUAGCCGACCUGAGAGGGUGAUCGGCCACACUGGGACUGAGACACGGCCCAGACUCCUACGGGAGGCAGCAGUAGGGAAUCUUCCGCAAUGGACGAAAGUCUGACGGAGCAACGCCGCGUGAGUGACGAAGGCCUUCGGGUCGUAAAGCUCUGUUGUUAGGGAAGAACAAGUACCGUUCGAAUAGGGCGGUACCUUGACGGUACCUAACCAGAAAGCCACGGCUAACUACGUGCCAGCAGCCGCGGUA
rnacentral:rRNA from 1 species